rnacentral:rRNA from 1 species
GUAGAGAACAUUAGUUAUCUAUUUUUAUGGGGAGCGGCGGACGGCUGAGUAACGCGUAGGAACGUACCCCAAAGUGAGGGAUAACCACUCGAAAGAGUGACUAAUACCGCAUAUGGUCUUCGGAUUAAAGCAGCAAUGCGCUAUGGGAACGGCCUGCGUCGGAUUAGGUUGUUGGUGAGGUAAUGGCUCACCAAGCCGACGAUCCGUAGCUGGUCUGAGAGGAUGAUCAGCCAGACUGGAACUGAGACACGGUCCAGACUCCUACGGGAGGCAGCAGUUAGGAAUCUUCCACAAUGGGGGCAACCCUGAUGGAGCAACACCGCGUGCUGGAUGAAGGCCUUCGGGUCGUAAACAGCUUUUGUAUACGAAGAAUAUGACGGUAAUAUACGAAUAAGGGUCGGCUAACUACGUGCCAGCAGCCGCGGUCAUACGUAGGACCCAAGCGUUAUCCGGAGUGACUGGGCGUAAAGAGUUGCGUAGGCGGCUUAUUAAGUGGAUAGUGAAAGCUGG